rnacentral:lncRNA from 1 species
UUUAAAAAAAGCAACCACCUACUUUUGUCGGCAAUAUCUUAGCCGUCCACUUGUAUUAAAUCUAUUACACAUGAUGUAAUUCUCUGCCUAUUUAAGGCCUAGCUCUCCACUAGAGAAGGCAUUCAGAAAUUUCUCCCAUAGAAAUCUCCUUGCCCAAUCUCUCUUGUACUACUGUCUCUUGUAAUCUUUUCCAUGUUUUCAUAAAUAAACUUUGUAAGUUUGUUAAUCCCUCUUUACUUAAUACUGCU